GAUGAACGCUAGCUACAGGCUUAACACAUGCAAGUCGAGGGGCAGCAUUUCAGUUUGCUUGCAAACUGGAGAUGGCGACCGGCGCACGGGUGAGUAACACGUAUCCAACCUGCCGAUAACUCGGGGAUAGCCUUUCGAAAGAAAGAUUAAUACCCGAUGGCAUAAUUAGACCGCAUGGUCUUAUUAUUAAAGAAUUUCGGUUAUCGAUGGGGAUGCGUUCCAUUAGGCAGUUGGUGAGGUAACGGCUCACCAAACCUUCGAUGGAUAGGGGUUCUGAGAGGAAGGUCCCCCACAUUGGAACUGAGACACGGUCCAAACUCCUACGGGGGGCAGCAGUGAGGAAUAUUGGUCAAUGGGCGCAGGCCUGAACCAGCCAAGUAGCGUGAAGGAUGACUGCCCUAUGGGUUGUAAACUUCUUUUAUAUGGGAAUAAAGUUUUCCACGUGUGGAAUUUUGUAUGUACCAUAUGAAUAAGGAUCGGCUAACUCCGUGCCAGCAGCCGCGGUAAUACGGAGGAUCCGAGCGUUAUCCGGAUUUAUUGGGUUUAAAGGGAGCGUAGGUGGACAGUUAAGUCAGUUGUGAAAGUUUGCGGCUCAACCGUAAAAUUGCAGUUGAUACUGGCUGUCUUGAGUACAGUAGAGGUGGGCGGAAUUCGUGGUGUAGCGGUGAAAUGCUUUAGAUAUCACGAAGAACUCCGAUUGCGAAGGCAGCUCACUGGACUGCAACUGACACUGAUGCUCGAAAGUGUGGGUAUCAAACAGGAUUAGAUACCCUGGUAGUCCACACAGUAAACGAUGAAUACUCGCUGUUUGCGAUAUACAGUAAGCGGCCAAGCGAAAGCAUUAAGUAUUCCACCUGGGGAGUACGCCGGCAACGGUGAAACUCAAAGGAAUUGACGGGGGCCCGCACAAGCGGAGGAACAUGUGGUUUAAUUCGAUGAUACGCGAGGAACCUUACCCGGGCUUAAAUUGCAUUUGAAUAUAUUGGAAACAGUAUAGCCGUAAGGCAAAUGUGAAGGUGCUGCAUGGUUGUCGUCAGCUCGUGCCGUGAGGUGUCGGCUUAAGUGCCAUAACGAGCGCAACCCUUAUCUUUAGUUACUAACAGGUCAUGCUGAGGACUCCAGAGAGACUGCCGUCGUAAGAUGUGAGGAAGGUGGGGAUGACGUCAAAUCAGCACGGCCCUUACGUCCGGGGCUACACACGUGUUACAAUGGGGGGUACAGAAGGCAGCUACCUGGUGACAGGAUGCUAAUCCCAAAAGCCUCUCUCAGUUCGGAUCGAAGUCUGCAACCCGACUUCGUGAAGCUGGAUUCGCUAGUAAUCGCGCAUCAGCCAUGGCGCGGUGAAUACGUUCCCGGGCCU
rnacentral:rRNA from 1 species